rnacentral:rRNA from 1 species
AAACAUAAGAGUUUGAUCCUGGCUCAGGACGAACGCUGGCGGCGUGCCUAACACAUGCAAGUCGAGCGGGGAUUACCGGAUGAAGUUUUCGGAUGGAAUCUGGUAAUUCUAGCGGCGGACGGGUGAGUAACGCGUGAG